rfam:Kockovaella imperatae strain NRRL Y-17943 BD324scaffold_32, whole genome shotgun sequence.
AUCCACGGCCAUAGGACUCAGAAAGUACCGCAUCCCGUCCGAUCUGCGAAGUCAAGCUGAGUGCCGCCUAGUUAGUACCAUGGUGGGGGACCACAUGGGAAUCCUAGGUGUUGUGGUUU